AUUGAAGAGUGCAAAAUUGUUCAAGAAAAAAGAACAUUUUAAGCAAUGACUGUACCUUUGAAUAGCCACAAACAUCAGCAAUACACCUAUCCCAGAAAGAGACUACAUUUCUCAAUCAUCUUUUAAGGAGAAAUACGAAUGUGUAACAACAAGCUCUGAAAUUAUACUGCAAGUUGGUAGUUGCACGUAUUUAUUCUAUAACUUGUUUUACCCUUUGAUGCAAGGCUGUUGCAUGGGUUGUUAAAUUUCCUGUGUUUCCAGAGCAAACUGGCAGCCAAAUAAACAAAUAUUUGAAUCAUCUGACCGAUGUUGAAAUUUGGGUGCAUUUAAACGGACUGUUCAAUGUUCAGUCAAAUAAGGAGACCACUCCUGUCAUUCAGAAUAUCACACUGUUACUCGGAAAUGA